CUANUACAUGCAAGUCGAGCGAAUGGAUUAAGAGCUUGCUCUUAUGAAGUUAGCGGCGGACGGGUGAGUAACACGUGGGUAACCUGCCCAUAAGACUGGGAUAUCUCCGGGAAACCGGGGCUAAUACCGGAUAACAUUUUGAACCGCAUGGUUCGAAAUUGAAAGGCGGCUUCGGCUGUCACUUAUGGAUGGACCCGCGUCGCAUUAGCUAGUUGGUGAGGUAACGGCUCACCAAGGCAACGAUGCGUAGCCGACCUGAGAGGGUGAUCGGCCACACUGGGACUGAGACACGGCCCAGACUCCUACGGGAGGCAGCAGUAGGGAAUCUUCCGCAAUGGACGAAAGUCUGACGGAGCAACGCCGCGUGAGUGAUGAAGGCUUUCGGGUCGUAAAACUCUGUUGUUAGGGAAGAACAAGUGCUAUUUGAAUAAGCUGGCACCUUGAACGGUACCUAACAGAAAGCCACGGCUAACUACCUGCCAGCAGCCGCGGUAAUACCUAAGUUGCCAAGCGUUUUCCGGAAUAAUUGGGCCUAAA
rnacentral:rRNA from 1 species